GUUUCAAAUUAUGCUGCAUUUACCCAUUGCGCACAUAAAAAUGACAAUUGGAGGUAGUAAACAUUCAACUCCUCGCGAUUCCGCACUGUUUAUAGUGCGCAGUGAAAAAAAGUAAAGAAUAUUAAACUCUUCUAAGCAUCUUGUAAUAAAAAGUGUUACUUAUAAUGUGGAAGUGAAUGUAGAAAAUGUGAAAAGUGAUAAAAAUAUUAUAGCAUUGAUGUGAAAAUUGUGAAAUAUUAAUCAAUAUAAUCUUUAAAGUAAAUAAUGUAAGAGAAAUGUGCACAUAUCGUAUAAUAUAAAGUGUAAAGAGAAAAUAGUGAUAGAAAAGUGCAUGUUAUCGCAUGAUAUAAAUAUAGCCUAACAACAAAUACCGAAUAAGAGCGGUGUGCUAAGAAAAUCAUAAAAAAAAACUACGCUAAAACCUCUGCUGAUGACCCGCAGCUCAAGCGUUGAGGUAUGUCAUCGUAUACGAAAAGUUAAUCGCGUUUUCUUCGAAAGUAUAUUUUCAAAGUCGAUUGUCAAGACUUCUCGCGAACUGCUGAACCGACCUCAAUGAAAUUUUACACAGGUUUUUGAUAUAUAAUAUAAUUUACAAGGUCGAACGAAAGAAAAGUACAACUAUUAAAAAAACGUAGAGAAAUUUUCACUAAACGAUUUUGAUAAGUUCGCGAUCUCGCUGACCCUUCCAGUACAAGGGGUGAUAAGAGUUAAACCACUAAUUGGACCAACAUAUGUGUCCUACCCAAUAUCCUUAUGAAUAUUUUGGAUAUAUGUACUCCCAUACCAGUACUUGAGAACCCAUCAAGCAAUCUACCGGCGAACCAAAAAUGUAUUGAAAAUUUUAAUUAAUUUUCACUCAAAAAUCGUAAUAUUCCAAAUUUGUUUUCGAUUUAUUUUUAUGUAAGGCAAAAAUCGCACUUUAACCCCUUCUUAUCGGCGCUGAACACACAUUGUUAUCUAAAAUAAACAUUUGUGAAAACAAGCAACAACGAACCAAUAAAUUUAUGUGCAUACGUUUUAAAUAAAUAAAAAAUAUGAAAUCAAAUACUCUCACAAAUAUAUUGACUCGUAUUACAAGUAGCAAAUGCAGCGAAGCUACGAAAUAUGCAAUUGGACUCUGGACAUUUUCACAUAUAGACGAAUGCUAACAUACAUACUUACAUCCAUAUAUACAUGUCUACGUAGAACUCCACAAGUGACGCAUACUUGUACUGUAUAUAUUGUUGUGCUAUGAUCGACUCAACACAUUGUUAACAAAAAACUAUGAAGUGAUAAAAUGAACUAGUUACAGUAUGUAAUAGUAGAAAAACAAACGAUGGUCACGUUCCGAGUUGAUGGGAUAUACAAUAUCUUGGCGUAUUUAAAACUUUUUUCCAUAUUAUCAGGGAGCAUAACGUGAGGUGAGUUCUAGAAUGCCACUGAUUUCGAAUCACUGCACUCUCUUCAACUAACUAAACUUUCGAAAACCUGUAUGACCUUAAAGAGCUAAAAACCCGAUUGCUUAUAUACUUCUUUAAUGCAAGCCAUCUUGCAAUGGCCCGAUGAUUUCCAAUAUACCAUAUAAGAACUAGAACAGAUUCUCAAGAAUAAAAUAUUUGCCCAUCCAGUGUUAAGCAGAUAUGCAUAAGGUGUUUUGAAGCUAUCAAUAAAUCCGUCGUCCUAACCCAAGAGACGAGAGUUAAACGAUUUGUAUGAUGUAAUCAUAUCUGUAAAUAGUUCAGACUUAUCCUGUAAACGGUGAACAAUCUAUUAAAUUGAUGUAUUAUAUGAUUUCUAGCGAAAGAAGAAACCGUCGAGUCUUUGACUAGCCAAAUGUAUCAAAACCAAUGUUUAAAAAACAGAUUAUGAAUAUAUGAAAUAAGUAAAAACAAUCGAUAUCGCUUGGGUGUACUCUUGUUUCAAAAAAUCUUGAGAUCCCCUGGAUUCAAUUACUUUAGUUAGGAAAUUAAGGGUUGUAUCGCAACUUUCGACUAUUAUCAUUCGCAGUUGUAUGGUCUAGAAAAAGGUUUUAACUACGGUACUAUGGUUUUGAGUGUUAAAUAAGUGUUAUGAUGAAAAUCAUAAUAUUUCGUAGUCGAGCUAACACAUUAAAUAUCUCCACCAACACUAGGGUUAUAUAACUAUUUCGUUCAUUCAGUUUGUUUUCAGUUGCCUGCCAAAGUUCUGACAGUGGUGAAUCGAACAAACAAUUUGUAUAAAUCAAGUAUAAUGGCAUAAAAAAAUGUGAUUUAUAACUUAAUUGAGAUUUAUUCGGA